rnacentral:rRNA from 1 species
GAUGAACGCUGGCGGCGUGCCUAAUACAUGCAAGUCGAGCGAACAGACGAGGAGCUUGCUCCUCUGACGUUAGCGGCGGACGGGUGAGUAACACGUGGAUAACCUACCUAUAAGACUGGGAUAACUUCGGGAAACCGGAGCUAAUACCGGAUAAUAUAUUGAACCGCAUGGUUCAAUAGUGAAAGACGGUUUUGCUGUCACUUAUAGAUGGAUCCGCGCCGCAUUAGCUAGUUGGUAAGGUAACGGCUUACCAAGGCAACGAUGCGUAGCCGACCUGAGAGGGUGAUCGGCCACACUGGAACUGAGACACGGUCCAGACUCCUACGGGAGGCAGCAGUAGGGAAUCUUCCGCAAUGGGCGAAAGCCUGACGGAGCAACGCCGCGUGAGUGAUGAAGGUCUUCGGAUCGUAAAACUCUGUUAUUAGGGAAGAACAAAUGUAUAAGUAACUAUGCACGUCUUGAAGGUACCUAAUCAGAAAGCCACGGCUAACUACGUG